CAGAGGGUGCAAGCGUUGUUCGGAAUUAUUGGGCGUAAAGGGCGCGUAGGCGGUUCGGCAAGUCUCUAGUGAAAUCUCUGGGCUCAACUCAGAGUCUGCUGGGGAAACUGCCGGGCUCGAGUGUGGGAGAGGAGAGUGGAAUUCCCGGUGUAGCGGUGAAGUGCGUAGAUAUCGGGAGGAACACCUGUGGCGAAAGCGGCUCUCUGGACCACAACUGACGCUGAGGCGCGAAAGCUAGGGGAGCAAACAGGAUUAGAUACCCUGGUAGUCCUAGCCCUAAACGAUGAUUGCUUGGUGUGGUAGGUACCCAAUCCUACUGUGCCGAAGCUAACGCGAUAAGCAAUCCGCCUGGGGAGUACGGUCGCAAGGCUG
rnacentral:rRNA from 1 species